AGAAAAGCAUCCAAUUUGAAGAAGAAAUGAGCGAUGAAUCAGAAAACCAGUCGAAUGUAGAAGAAAUAAUUUAUAGAGCUGAAAGAAAUUCAAACGAAAUAAACAAGCUUCCUUCAAGUGAUACAGCAACAGAACAUAGUGCAGAUAUAGUUAGAAAUAGAUCUACUCAUAGUUUAAAAAAUCAAACAGACACCAAAGAAGAUAAAUUUCCUGGUCAUCAAGUUAUGAAUAAAAGCGAAUCAAGUUUGGUGCUAGAAGAAGAACAUCCACCUAAGUUAGAAGAAGUAGUUGAGAAAGUUGUCGAAUUACAUUCUUUAGAAACUGUAAACGAAAUCCAGCCUGUUACAGAAACGACUGUCGAAGACCCGCCAAAUAAAAGUGAUGAUAACAAUAGUUUAAAAGAAAGUCAUGAUACAAAGGACAAUGAAGAAAAAAUGGACCAGCAGAACUAGAUAAACAAAAAGAGGAGCAUCCCGAGGAAGCCACCAGCCCGAGUCAGUCGGAGAGCAGUCGUGCAACUCGAUGGGAGGCUCUUGCUGACAUAGCCGCCGAGCUACCGCCCUCCCUUACAGUUGAUCCUAUUACAGGUCAAAUUUAUGCGCUUUCAAAAU